UACGGGGGGGGCAAGCGUUGUUCGGAAUUACUGGGCGUAAAGGGCCUGUAGGCGGCCAACUAAGUCGGAUGUGAAAUCCCCAGGCUCAACUUGGGAACUGCAUCCGAUACUGGAUGGCUUGAAUUCGGGAGAGGGAUGCAGAAUUCCAGGUGUAGCGGUGAAAUGCGUAGAUAUCUGGAGGAAUACCGGUGGCGAAGGCGGCAUCCUGGACCGACAUUGACGCUGAACGGCGAAAGCUAGGGGAGCAAACGGG
rnacentral:rRNA from 1 species